UUGCGUAUGCCGUGUAUUACAGA
rnacentral:siRNA from 1 species